CGCGCCUGUUUCCUACUGGCGAUGCUGAAGGCUAGGAUUCACUGGUCGCUGGGUUCGGUGCCCAGACCCGCCCCCUGGCUCCCAGAUCCGCUUGCGCCUGCUGUAGUGCGCUGUGCCCGCCAAUCAGCGAGCUCGGGGCGUGGUCUGCUGAAGUAUAGAGCACGGACACCAGGAAGAGAGGAACCAUGGUUUAUUCACUGCCAACUCUCCAACACUAGAAUGGUGCCCUGAUCCUGUUUUUCUACAGCUUUUGUACUUUUCUGGGGAAGAUUAUACAGUGUAUGUGUGUAGUAUUACUCAGGAACACAUGCUUCUCAGGAUAUCACCCAAGAUACAGGAAACUGAAGAUGAGAGAAAGUGUCAACCUGCAAAGGAUGGCUGUGGCAGAGAUAUUGGAUGUACAACCAGGUGGGGACUGCCUUACUCAUCCUGAAGUAUUGGGCACCAGGACACCUCCUCCAGAGAGCCUGCCUUAACCUCUCAUCCACCUCAGCUGAGAGCAGGGACUAGUUCAGUGAAGAGUGACCACAUUUGUGAGCAUUUUUUGCUCUAAUUUUCCCAGGUCCCAUGACAGCUCAUCACUAGACUCAGUGACAACACCUUCUUUCUCCUUCCUCCUGGCCUAGCAGUGGGACCAUCUUCCUGGAUGCUCACCCUAAGCCCUUCACCGUCCCUUGUC